UGCUAAUCUUGUCAUUACUCACAAUAACUCAAAAUAAUGAAAAGUAAUAAUGGAAUAUGAAAAUGUGAAUUAAAAAAAGCUAAUAAUAAUAAAGCAAUAAAUUAUUUUUCAAAGCUGUAUUUUAGCUCAUGUUGUUGUAUGGUUUAAGACAUGACAAAUUACCAAGACUCUGUUUAUUCCAGUGCCUCGACACAGAUCGAAAGACCACCGCUGGAAAGAGAAAUUGGUUGUGAAUGCAGCUUGUGUGUGAGAGAGAGUGAAAGAAGUGAGAAUUUAAAACAAGCAAUGACAUAAAGGGUUAAAAAAGCCAAGAAAUUGCGUCAAGUCUCUUUCCAAAGCGAGAGCUAUUUUUGUCUUUGCUGUGGUUUGAAGGUACCUCAGAGGAACUGUAAAUUAUUCAAAACGGCCGCAACAGGCCCUUGUCAGUGACACUUAGAGUAACCUUUCUUUGUCAGUUGGCGGCAGGUUUUGUUGUUGUGCUGAUCUGUUUUUGAAUGAGAAACCCAUAUUAAAGGAAUCACAGUGUAAAUGUCCGGUUUAAGGCACUGAAAUAGUAUAUUUUCUGCACAGAGCUUGGGUACGGCGUCAUGUCGUGUUCGAUAUGUGUGGCUUUAAUCAUUGCAACGUGUCUGUUCUGAAUCUGCUUUGUAAAUUGCUGCAGCAAUAUGUUACAACAACUGAUGGGGUGUAUCUUUUGGAGUGGGAGACUUUUUACCAUAGUAAAAACUACUGAAGGAUUUGCCACCACUUUGGACGAUUUGUGUGUGUGUGUGUGUGUGUGUGUGUGUGUGUGUGUGUGUGUGUGUGUGUGUGUGCGUAAGCAGAUCUAUCUAAAUGAGGCUGGGUGUGUGUUUCUUUCCAUGUGUGGAUUUGAUGGUGUGUGUGUGUGUGUGUGUUUUGGGGGUCAAGGAGACUGUGUUUGGCUGUUAUCUUCUAUUUGUCUCCUAUCCAUGUUGCCUUCUGCUGAGUCCUAACCAAUGCUUUUGUAGCUGUACGUAAUGUACAAUCUUUGUUGUGAAUUUUCUUUUUUUAUGUGUAGUUUUCAUCAGCCUCACCAUGCCAAUAAAGAGAAUUGUGUCUAAUUUAUUCUUUCCCUCCUUUUUCUUGUGCAUGCAGACUGAAUAUAUUUAGAAGUAGUCGCUCAAAUGUGUGUUUCAGCUACAUUAUGAUUUUAAUGAAGUCUCUUCUGUUCUCCAAGGCUGUAUUUAUGGGCUAAAAAAUACAGUAAAAACUUCAAUAUUGUGAAAUAUUAUUACAAUUUAAAAUGUCUGUUUUCUAUUGUAAUAUAUUGUAAAAUGUAAUUUGUU
ensembl:lncRNA